rnacentral:rRNA from 1 species
UACGUAGGUGGCAAGCGUUUGUUCGGAAUUAUUGGGCGUAAAGGGCGCGUAGGCGGUUUGUUAAGUCGGCUGUGAAAGCCCGGGGCUCAACCCCGGAGGGUCAGCCGAUACUGGCAGACUAGAGUACGGAAGAGGUAGCUGGAAUUCCCGGUGUAGCGGUGGAAAUGCGUAGAUAUCGGGGAGGAACACCUGAGGCGAAGGCGGGCUACUGGGCCGAUACUGACGCUGAUGCGCGAAAGCCAGGGGAGCGA